GACGAACGCUGGCGGCGUGCCUAAUACAUGCAAGUCGAGCGGACUGAUUAAGAGCUUGCUCUUAUGACGUUAGCGGCGGACGGGUGAGUAACACGUGGGCAACCUGCCCUGUAGAUCGGGAUAACACCGAGAAAUCGGUGCUAAUACCGGGUAAUAUCUGAGAUCACAUGAUCUUAGGUUAAAAGAUGGCUCCGGCUAUCACUACAGGAUGGGCCCGCGGCGCAUUAGCUAGUUGGUAAGGUAAUGGCUUACCAAGGCGACGAUGCGUAGCCGACCUGAGAGGGUGAUCGGCCACACUGGGACUGAGACACGGCCCAGACUCCUACGGGAGGCAGCAGUAGGGAAUCUUCCGCAAUGGACGAAAGUCUGACGGAGCAACGCCGCGUGAGUGAUGAAGGGUUUCGGCUCGUAAAGCUCUGUUGUUAGGGAAGAAACAGUACCGAACGAACUAGGUCGGUACCUUGACGGUACCUAACCAGAAAGCCACGGCUAACUACGU
rnacentral:rRNA from 1 species